CUAUAAUGGUGAUGUACAAGAAUUUAACAACUCUAGAGAAGCUGGGAAUAGAAAACGAGAUGACAUGGCACAACGGAUGUGGAACCAUUACGUAGCACGAAGGAAAUAAUAUAUUGCAUUUGACCACCAUGGCAUUCAAGGCGUAAUGCAUCACUUGAAAAGGACAAGAAAACUUCCCUAUUAUCCUUACCUUUGAAGAUAUCAGCUGCCACCAAUAUAUCUCCUAUUUGUAGACCAUGUAAACCUUCAAGCACUGUGAUACACUUGUUGAUGCUGUCGAGAUUCAGGAACCUCUGAAGGUGUUUGUGCCGAGCUAGGUGGGACUUUUGUGAGAUGGACAGGGGUAGGUGAAUGCUGUGAAAAGUCCAAAUUGGCUGUCUCAACCUCUUCACCAAAAGGAAAUUGCAAACCUGAUUCACCUGGAGCAUUUGAA